ACUGCGCAUGCGCUCUGGUUGGCCUGUCCGUCUUGAGGCGGGGCGCCAGGGCAGUUUUUUUUUCUUUGCUCCCGCCCCUGCGCUUCCCACCUGCCACGUACGGGACCGCGGCUCUUGCUAGGCUCGUUGGGUGUGUGCGAUUGGCCAGGUCCGCGCAGCCUGCAGCUCGGCGACGAUCGGCGGAGGGCGGCCGGGUGGACGGUGUCGGUAGCCUCCCUGCGACACUGCGGAGCCCGCGGCGGCCUCGUAGCGACCCGGUCAGCUGAGGCGGCGGCCUGGGCAAGCCGUUUUUCCCCUAGAGUUAUAUAUAUAGAGCAUCCUGGAGUCCACAAUGAACGGACAGUUGGACCUAAGUGGGAAGCUGAUUAUCAAAGCUCAACUUGGAGAAGAUAUCCGGCGAAUUCCCAUUCAUAAUGAAGACAUUACUUAUGAUGAAUUAGUGCUGAUGAUGCAGCGAGUAUUCAGAGGAAAGCUUCUGAGUAAUGAUGAAGUUACAAUAAAGUAUAAGGAUGAGGAUGGAGAUCUUAUAACAAUUUUUGAUAGUUCUGACCUUUCCUUUGCAAUUCAGUGUAGUAGAAUACUGAAACUGACAUUAUUUGUUAAUGGCCAGCCAAGACCCCUUGAAUCAAGUCAGGUGAAAUAUCUUCGUCGAGAACUGAUAGAACUUCGGAAUAAAGUGAAUCGCUUAUUGGACAGCUUAGAGCCGCCUGGAGAACCAGGGCCUUCCACCAGUAUUCCUGAAAAUGAUACUGUGGAUGGUAGGGAAGAAAAGCCUGCUGCUUCUGAUUCUUCUGGGAAACAGUCUACUCAGGUUAUGGCAGCAAGUAUGUCAGCUUUUGAUCCUCUAAAAAACCAAGAUGAAAUCAACAAAAAUGUCAUGUCAGCAUUUGGAUUAACAGACGACCAGGUUUCAGGACCACCCAGUGCUCCUACAGAAGACCGUUCCGGAACACCUGACAGCAUUGCUUCUUCCUCUUCGGCAGCACACCCAGCAGCAGGUCAGCCACAGCAACCUCCCUAUGCAGGAGCUCAGACACAAGCAGGUCAGAUUGAAGGUCAGAUGUACCAACAGUACCAGCAGCAGGCUGGCUACAGUGCACAGCAGCCUCAGGCCCCUCCUCAGCAGUACGGUAUUCAGUAUUCAGGUGAGGAGGUGAUGGAAGAGCUGAUGCUAAGUUCUUCUCCUAAGUACUUGAUUUAUGAUAUUUACACUGUCGUAAGUGCUAAGUACUUGUUAGGGCACACAAUACUUAUUUAUAUUUAAAGUGAUAUGUUUUUUCAAAUCAGCAUUUUACUUUUUUAGUGAGUAAAUACAACAUAAUUAUAGAGAUGAUUCUGUAGUAAGCUACAGUAAAAAAAAUGUUUUACUACAAAGCUCUCUUUCUAACAAUCUAAAAAAUAAAAAAAUAAGGAUUUUCUUCUAUCCAUAUCACUCAAUUCUAGAGUACUCUUAGAAGUUGUAGAGGCAUAUCAACAAUUUCCCCAUACAUGCAGAAACGAACUUAAUAAAAACUAAAUUGUUUCAUUUAAGCCUACUGAAAAGUAUGGUAAAAUACCAAAAAUAAAACAUGCAAAUAAAAUUACAGUCGAAUUCAGGCAACUAAGAGUAUUUAGGUUUUAACUGCUGAGGUGAAGUGACAGUUGUCAUCUGACCCAGGGGAUUUCAUCACAUAGCAAGUCUGGUCACCUGAGAGCUUUUUAUAGCUGAUCGCAUUCCUGUACAUGCGACCAUCUGUCCACUGAAGACUUAUCUAUAUUUAAUGUGAUAAAUUUCUUUUGUUUAGUUUUAGUUAUAAUUUAGGUACUUUUUCUUGUUACAUCAGAGUGUCCCUCUACCAUGUAUAGUCAAAGAUUAAGUAACUUAACAAAAUUCCUUUGAGAGUUUUGUAUUAACUAGAGUAUGAGAGUAUAGAUCAGCUAAUUAUAGAUACAUAGCUAUAGGUGGAUAGCUAUAGGUAAGCUAUAGCAGGUACAGCUACAGUGUAAUUCUGCUACUGCCUGGUUUGGUAAAGGAAGCUUUAUUAUACACUUGUACCUUACAUGUUUCUCAGUUAUACCUGUUGCUGUUGCACUUUGGCACUGUACUGACAGAGUAGAGUGAGUAGUUGGAACAGUGAGAGAAGUAUUGUGGCCCACAACACCUAAAAUAUUUACUGUCUGGCCCUUUAAAAGAGGCUGAACUUUCAUGUUUCACUGGUGCAGGCAAUUGCUGAUUGCUGACCUAGACUACAGAAUUUUGUCAGUACUUAAGUUUGGUAGAUUUUUACACAUACAGUAAUUUCUUGGGAUUGUUUUUGCUGUAGAGUGAUUUUAUUUUAUAGCUAAAUCUAAUUUAAAAAACAGAUGGAGUGAAUUUAAAGGGGAUGUCACUUUAGUUACCCUUUUAAAUAAAAAAAAUAUAUGGUACAAAUUAUAUAACAUAGAAACAAUAGGCUGAGGAAUCUGAAGAGAUCAGUGUCAUUAUCUAAUCUAGGAGAUGCUCUCAACUCUCAUAGCCUCCUCCCUGGGCCCUAUUCCUAUAGACAUCAGUUUGCUUGGAGGUGGGACUUAGGUAUCACAGGUAGCCAAGAUGAGGACCCCUGAUCUUGGUCUACACCCAUUUUAUAAAUGACUUUUCAAGGCAUGCAGAUAUUCAGUGAGGGGGCUGGAACAUAAUGUAUUUCUCUUGUCUUUAUACCAUUUUAUAUUCUCCAAUCUAGACCAGAAUGGUCAAUAUUUUAGGCUUAGUUAUAGCUAUGUAUUAAUUUAAAAAUAUCUAUUACCUAUUUUGUUGCAAUUUGUGAUGUUUUUCACCUAACGUUAAUUCAUUUUAGGAGUGUUGGGAUGGUGUAGGAAUGGAGACAAAUAGAAAUAACAGAGAAAUAUUGCUGCAUUAUGAUUAAUGACGCAGUAGACUGCUACUGAAAUGCUGUUGUUACCAUUUAUUACUGUUUCCUUUCCUGAGCAGUAAUUAAGACUCUAGGUGCUUCCCAGAUCAAUUUAAAAAACAGUUUAGAUUUCAGUUGGAGGAUAGUUGGAGGAUAGUUGCUUUCCUCUCAAAUGGGAUAGUCAUUUUCAAAAUAAAGGUAUUCCCAAAAACUUACAGUAGAAAAUUACAUUUGGAAAUUUUUGUCGGGACUGACAAGUUGGUUCGGAAGUUGAGAGCGCUUGCUGUCUUCCAGAGUAACUGAGCUCAGAUUUUAGCAUCCAUGGUGAUGGCAGCUCAUAGCCAUCAGACAUGUCCAUGUCCUUCCUCUUCUGGCUUUCAUGGGUAGGCACAUACACACACACACAAUUUUAAGUUUAGCACAGAAGAGAGGAGAAAUUACGUGACAUCCAAGAUCUUAUAAGUUUAUUUUAAUUCAGCAUUCAGGUACUACUGUGAGUGAAUUGCUUUAGCUACUGAAACCUAAGCUUCCUCUGGGAAGGUUUAGGGUUUUCACUGAGUAAGAUUUUAGUACUUUUCAAAUUGCUUCUGUAUUUCUCAUCCUGCUAGUCCUAUUUCCUCGACUUUGAGAGCUAUGGAAAUAGAUAACUAAUUACUCUGCAUGGAGACUUACUAGUGGUGCUGGUUGGUAGUGACAUUGACCAAUCUCUGAUACUUUUGGUUUGCCAGUUUUCCCUCUGACUUUUUCCAGUUUUGUCCAUAAAGGUUUCUUUCAUAAGUAAAUUUUGAACCCAGGUUCAAGGAUUCCAGUCAAUGGAGAGGUUUCAUUGCAAGUAGCUGCAGCUAGUUACAGCCAGCAGACUGGACCCCAACAACCUCAGCA